rnacentral:rRNA from 1 species
UACGGGGGGAGCAAGCGUUGUUCGGAUUUACUGGGCGUAAAGGGCGCGUAGGCGGUCAGCACAAGUCAAUUGUGAAAUCUCCGAGCUUAACCUGGGAACUGCAUUGGUGACUGCAUUGCUGGAGUAUGGCAGAGGGGGGUGGAAUUCCACGUGUAGCAGUGAAAUGCGUAGAGAUGUGGAGGAACACCGAUGGCGAAGGCAGCCCCCUGGGAUGAGACUGACGCUCGAUGUACGAAAGCGUGGGGAGCAAACAGG